CUGGCAGUUAGUAGGCCAGGAGCUGAGUGGGAUGAUAACAGGAGACCAGGGCCAUUCAAGGGGAGCACUGUCUCUAAGUGGAUCCCCUGCUAAGGAGGUGUGCCAUCAUGCGGGUUUCAAGUCAUCCAGAGCAGGGUGGAAGUGAACUGAACUCUGAUGACGAAUUCCUUGGGCUUCCUUUGCUGACUUCGCCACCUCAGUUUAUCGCCGGACAUUUGGAAGAUUUGGAAGAUGCCCUCCUGUGUCCUGACCUUCCACCUGCCUACCACACUGAUGACAGCGAAGACCACAGCAGUGAGGACAGUGAGGGUGGCCAUUCUGAUGACAGCAAUGACAAGCAUGGCAGCAGGCAUGAUGACAGUGACUAUCACAGCCAGGAUGAUCACACCAAUGAUGUCUACAGCAAAGGCUAUGUCAAACUGCAAGAACAAGGAAUGUGCACAGCUUGCUGUCACCUUUGCAAUAUGCAAACUAAGUGGGAACUCAGCCACAGAAAAGCCACAGAGAGAAGAGGAAAGGCUGUAGAAAUGAAAGCAAAGGAGCUAGAAGUGUACCACGAGUGUGAAGCAAGAUGUCAAUGGAAAGAUCGUGAAGCAUUAUUUUCAGGCUCUGUUUUUCAUGAAGGGGUCACCAUGUCAGUGUCGGGUCUCCCAGAGAGCAGUGGACAGGACACGAGUUCUGAUGAAGGAGGCCUCAUGUCCCCCCAGUUUGUGCCAGGACAAUUGGAAGAUUUGGAAGAUGCCCUUCUGUGUCCCAAGCUCCAACCUGAUGUGGACAUGGAUAUGGAAGAAGAGGGAUUCGCUUUGCUGGAUGCGUGGAGUUAGA
rnacentral:lncRNA from 1 species